rnacentral:rRNA from 1 species
AUAGAGACUCAGAGCCGCAUAUCAAUAAGCGGAGGAAAAGAAACUAACUAGGAUUCCCUCAGUAACGGCGAGUGAAGCGGGAAGAGCUCAAAUUUGAAAUCUUCAAGGUUCUACCUUGACGAAUUGUAGUUUAAAGAAGUGUUUUCUGUUGGAGUUUUGGUAAAAGUUCUUUGGAAUAGGACAUCAUAGAGGGUGAGAAUCCCGUAUUUGACCAUUAUUUCCAGCUUUGUGAUACACUUUCAAAGAGUCGGAUUGUUUGGGAAUGCAGUCCAAAAUGGGUGGUAAAUUUCAUCUAAAGCUAAAUACUGGCGAGAGACCGAUAGCGAACAAGUACCGUGAGGGAAGGAUGAAAAGAACUUUGAAAAGAGAGUUAAACAGUACGUGAAAUUGUCAAAAGGGAAGCGUUUGACACCAGUGUUGUUUUCUCGAAAAUCAAUUAUAAUCAUGGUGGGAUGUUAAGUGUUGUAUUGACUUUAUCAGCUUUCUGCACUUUUUUUCCUAUCUUUUUUAAUGCACUUUUCGUUUAACAAGUCAACAUCAAUUUCUUUUGUUGUAAAAGAGUCAUUGGAAGGUGGCUUUCUUUUCGGAGAAAGUGUUUAUAGCCUUUGGCUUCUGCAAUCGGAGAGAUUGAGGUCUGCAGCGUAGAUCCUUCGGGGUUAGAUGCAUUUGUGCUAAGUUAUAGCCUUUCAUAGACAACUUGUUGACUAUGAUCAGUCAUGUAGCUUACUCGCUUAUGUCAUUUUACCUACGCUUAGGAUGUUGAUAUGCAUGACUGAUAU